UAGCAGUAAUGCAGUUAACACAGUAAGUGUGCCGCCUGGGGAGUACGGUCGCAAGAUUAAAACUCAAAGGAAUAGACGGGGACCCGCACAAGCGGUGGAGCAUGUGGUUUAAUUCGACGAUACGCGAAGAACCUUACCUGGCCUUGACAUAGGAAGAACUUACUAGAGAUAGUUUGGUGCUAGUUUACUAGAACUUCCAUACAGGUGCUGCACGGCUGUCGUCAGCUCGUGUCGUGAGAUGUUGGGUUAAGUCCCGCAACGAGCGCAACCCUCGUGUUUAGUUACUAACAGUUCGGCUGAGGACUCUAGACAGACUGCCUGGGUAACCAGGAGGAAGGUGAGGACGACGUCAAGUCAUCAUGGCCCUUACGGCCAGGGCUACACACGUGCUACAAUGGGGUAUACAAAGAGCCGCGAUACCGUGAGGUGGAGCAAAUCUCAUAAAAUAUCUCCCAGUUCGGAUAGUAGUCUGCAACUCGACUACUUGAAGUUGGAAUCGCUAGUAAUCGUAGAUCAGCAAUGCUACGGUGAAUACGUUCCCGGGUCUUGUACUCACCGCCCGUCACACCAUGGGAGUUGAUUUCAUUCGAAGCGGGGAUGCUAAAAUAGCUACCUUCCACAGUGGAAUUAGCGACUAGGGUGAAGUCGUAACAAGGUAGCCG
rnacentral:rRNA from 1 species